AUCUUCUUGAGAGUCAGGUUUUGCUAGUCUAUGAAGUGAUAACAUAUUUACCAUACCAUUGCAUCAACUUCAGGAUUAAGGAAGACUGUAUUCACCUGCUGAGGGAGUAAAAUACCAUUACCCAUGAGGAUGCGGGUUUGAUUCCUGGCCUUGCUCAGUGGGUUGGGGAUCUCGCCGUUGCUGUGAGGUGUAGUAUGGGUCACAUUUGCGGCUUGGAUCCCAUGUCACUGUGGCUGUGGCAUAGGCCAACAGCUGCAGCUCCAAUCUGACCCCUAGCCUGGGAACUCCACAUGCCGCAGGUCUGGCCCUAAAAAAGACAAAAAAAAAAAAACACCAAAAACAAACAACAACCAAAAAAACUAUUGAGCAUUUACUAUGAUUUAAGCACUGUAGUAAAAUAUGUGUACAAAAAAAGAAAAAAUAUGUGUACAUAUGCACAUAUUUUCUGUUAUUUCUCUAUAUUAGGUAUACAUACAUCUCAAAUGAGAAUGUAUAUUCUCAUUUAAUUCUCAUAAGAGUAUAUUAAAAACAUUAUUAUUAUUUUUUAAUAGAUGAGACUGAGCUUCAGGGAGAUUAUAUAAUUUUCUUUAGGUCACACAGCUAUCAAGUGUCAGAGCUGGGACUCAAGUCCAGGUUUGGCUACAAAGCCUAUGCUCUUUGGUGUCCAGCAAUACUUUCCAGCAAACCCUCCCUCCAUUAAAUGUCUUAUUUUGCCAAAUGACAUCCAUUAAUAAAAUUUUAGAUGCAUUCUCAUCAAAAGCAAUUAUACACUGAAUCGAAAACUUUUUGAGAUUAAGAAGUUAAUUGACUAGGGUGGAAGAGAGAGAUGUUCAGGGUAGUGAAAGCAACUGAAAAGAACUGCAGUGGUUCAGGGGAGAAAGAUGAGACCCUAGACUAAGUGGGUGUGCUGGUAAGAAUGGAGGAGAGAAAAAUGGAUAUGAGAUGUUUCUUAGCUCAGGCUGCUAUAGCAAAGUACCAUAGACUAGGUGCUUUAUAAAUAACAUGGUUAUUUCUCAUAGAUCUGGAGGCUGGAAGUCUGUGAUUAGAGUACCAGCAUAGUUGAGUUCUGGUGAGGGGUCUCCACCAGGUGGAGAGCAAAGAGAGGUAGCAAGCUCUCUCGAUUUAUAAAGGCACUUAAUCCCACUCAUGACCUCAUCUAAUCCUAAUUACCUCUCCAAAGCCCUCCCUUCGUAUACCAUCAAAUUGAGGGAUAGGAUUUCAGUGUGUAAAUUUGCGGGGAACACAAACAUUCAGUCCAUAACACAGGUGCCAGUGAAGAUAGUGUGGCCAUUGCUAGUGUUCUGUGCUUCUUGAACUUAUGCAACUCACUCCUUCCUCAGUGCCCCCUGCCUGGAAGAGUCUUCCUCCAGGCCUUUAAAUAGCUGGCUCUUUCUUGUCAUCCGUGUCUCAGCUCAAAUAACACUACUCAUGAUAGAGAAACAUUUCAUUAUCUUGAAAAUUCAUCAAUAAAGGGAGAGAAUUGAGCAUUUAUCCUGCCUUUCCUAGAUGAACUGGGUAACAAAAUAGUAGAUAAAGGGGCAUGUCUUUUUCUAAAGUUAUUGCCAUAAUAAAAAUGAUUAAAAUUAGAAUAUCACCAUUUUGCAAUCCUUGAUAAAACAGAUGGAUAUAGGAGCAUCAACAGCUUCUAAGAUUAUUAAAAAACAUCAGACAUUUUGUCUAUCCUAUAGUCAUACGAAAGGGAUUGGAACUUGAGUUUGACCUAGUCUUUGAUCCAGCUGCCAGUUUGCAGGAAAUACAGACAGGAACUAAACAAUGCUUAUGCAGUUAGCAAAAUACAGAGAUGCUUCAUAAGUCAAACUCAAGUUCUUCCAUAAAAAAAAAAUCACCUCUUAGGCCUUUCUCAACCAUGUUCUCGAAAUUAGUAUCUACUAUCCAAGUUACUAUUCACAUUACCCUGUUUGAUUUUCCCCAUAGCCCUUGUCAUCAACUGAGGAGGUUUCCUUACAUGAGAAGCAAUAUAGCCUAUCAGUUAAGAGAACAAACUAUAGCAUCAGACUGCUCAAAUUCAAAUCUUGACUACUUGGUAGCUAUAUGACCUUAAAAAACUUCAGAGCUAUAGACUUCUGUUUCUCAACUAUAAAACAGGAUUAAUAUCAGUGCCUAUAUCAUAGGGUCAUUAGGAGUAUUGAAUGAAUUAGCAUAUCUAAAGAGCUUGUCACAGUGCCUGAUACAGGCUAAGCAUUAUAAAUGCUAAUACAUAUGUCUUUUUUUUUUUUUUUAAUUUCAUUUUUGGCCACUCUGAGGCAUAUGGAGUUUCCGGGCCAGGGAUCAAAUCCGGGCCAGGGAGUUGAGACCUACCCUGCAGCUGUGGCAACGCCAGAUCCUUUAACCCACUGUGCUGGGCCAGGAAUUGAAUCUGCAUCCUAGAGCUGUAGAGACGCUACCAAUCCUGUUGCCCCACAGCAGGAACUCUUGUAUGUAAGUCUUUCUGCACUAUUCCCAGCACCUAAAAGUGCCUAGCAUAUAUAUCACAUGCACAAAAAAUGUUUGUUGAAUGAAGGGCUUGAAUAAAGGUGGCAAAGAAAUAUAGGAAAGAGACAUGUAAAAUCUUUUUAAAAGUUUAUUUAUUUUACAUGGAUUAUUUAAGAUAU
rnacentral:lncRNA from 1 species